rnacentral:lncRNA from 1 species
AACGUCCCCACAGUGGGGACAGCUCAGGGACACUAGGGGGACGGGACUGGUUUGUACUCCAUUAAACCCUUUUUACGUCUCUCCUGGCUCCACGUGGUCCUGGGGAGCGGCGGGGGGCUCCUGCAGGCCCUGAGCGCAGGCGUGCGGAUGCCUUGCGCCGCCGGGGUGCCAGUCGUCCCCCCCGCAACGCGUCCCUCGCGCGAGCGUGCGAGGCCGUCACGUGGGCGCGUGCCUCCCUGGGCCCGGCCUCGCAGGAGAGCUUGCCUGGCCUCGCACAGCCGUGCCCACCCCCCCCGCGCCUCCCCCCGACUUCCUGCCCCACGGGCGGGCUGCCCGCAGCUUCCUGGAGGGGGUGGGGGCCCCGCGCGUGCGAGGACCGACCGGGGCUGCCAGGCAGCGUGAGGAGGAGGCAGAGCCGGACGUCGCCAGGGCCCAGGGGACCGGGCCUCCGGGCUGCCCCGACGUGUCCCCACAGGCCUCAUGGACGCGCUGUGGCCCUACGGGGUGCUCUGGGGCCUCCUCCUGCUUGUCCCGACCGUGCUGCUGGCUGCCCUCUGCGCCCGCUGCCGCGACCCCCAUGGCCAUGGUGCCCAGAUUGACAACUAUGAGUACAAGCCCCCACCCUGUGAGCCCCACAACAGCUUCAUGCUGCUGACACGGCCCAGGUGCCCCUCUCGCACCCCGAUCAAGCAGCAGCCGGUGACCUCAGCAGAGCUGUUCCUGUCCAUCCCGCGGUCCCCGCAAGCCCCUCAGAGCCGCAAGGUCUCCUUCACCCACCYGGAACCGGACAACGACAGCGUGCCCAGCUACGAGAACGAGGGUGAGGCGGGCGGCCAUCCCCGGAGUGCCUGGCCGCGGGCCCCGUCCCCUGCCCCCCCGGCGGCCCCCGAGAGUGAGGACGACUACAACAACGAGCUCUACGCCACCGGCUACGUCGAGGUGCUCCCGGAUGGCACGGCCCAGCCCAACCCGCCCCAGCAACCCCAGGCCAGGGACAGCAGCUCCUCCGCGGCGCCCGGCGAGUACGAGAACGUCCCCGACGCCCACCGCCAGUCCCUGGCUGACAGCCUGGAGUACGUCAACGUCCCUGAGGCUGGGGCCAGCCCCACGCCCCGCUACACCAGCGAGAGCGAGGAGGACGCCCCAGACUACGAGAACCUGCAACACUGAGCACCAGGCGCUGCUGGCUGUCGCCCCGCGUUAGCGCCAGGACCGGUGGCUGGAGUCCCUCGGAACUGGCCGGGACACCCCUGUCCCUGUUAAUUUAUUGCAUCCCCCCCCCCCCCCGUCUGUGCACCUUCUUCUGACACAUCCUGAGAAGCAGCCCCCACUGGCCCCCAGCCCUGACCUGGGGGCCUGGGGGCCCCCGUGCCCCGACCCGGGGCCCCUGUCCCCCCCGUAACGCUGAAUAAAGCCAUGGGAGCUGCACCGAGCU